rnacentral:rRNA from 1 species
GGGGGAUAUUGGUCAAUGGGGGAAACCCUGAACCAGCGAUGCCGCGUGAGGGAAGAAGGUUUUCGGAUUGUAAACCUCUGUCAUCGGGGAAGAUAAUGACGGUACCCGAGAAGGAAGCCACGGCUAACUACGUGCCAGCAGCCGCGGUAAUACGUAGGUGGCGAGCGUUGUCCGGAAUUACUGGGUGUAAAGGGAGUGUAGGCGGGACUUCAAGUCAGGUGUGAAAUCUAUGGGCUCAACCCAUAGCGUGCACUUGAAACUGUAGUUCUUGAGUGAAGUAGAGGCAAGCGGAAUUCCUAGUGUAGCGGUAAAAUGCGUAGAUAUUAGGAGGAACACCAGUGGCGAAGGCGGCUUGCUGGGCUUUUACUGACGCUGAGGCUCGAAAGCGUGGGGAGCAAAC